AGAGUUUGAUCCUGGCUCAGAAUGAACGCUGGCGGCGUGCUUAACACAUGCAAGUCGAACGAGCAAGUUCUCUUCGGAGGAUGAGUAGAGUGGCGAACGGGUGAGUAACACGUGGAUAAUCUGACUUCGGGAACGGGAUAACCAAUCGAAAGGCUGGCUAAUACCGUAUGAAGUUUUUGAUCAUAAGAUUGAAAAUGAAAAGGUGCCUCUGUUGUAUGCAUCUGCUUGAAGGUGAGUCCGCGUACCAUUAGCUUGCUGGUGGGGUAAGAGCCUACCAGGGCGACGAUGGUUAGCUGGUCUGAGAGGAUGAUCAGCCACACUGGAACUGAAACACGGUCCAGACUCCUACGGGAGGCAGCAGUGAGGGAUUUUGCGCAAUGGGGGAGACCCUGACGCAGCAACGCCGCGUGAGUGAAGAAGGCCCUUGGGUCGUAAAGCUCUGUCAACAGGGAAGAAGUUAUCAUGCAUGAAUAAUGUAUGGUAUUGACGGUACCUGUGGAGGAAGCACCGGCUAACUCCGUGCCAGCAGCCGCGGUAACACGGGGGGUGCAAGCGUUAUUCGGAAUUAUUGGGCGUAAAGUGCGCGCAGGCGGUCUUGCCGGUCAGGUGUGAAAUCCCUCGGCUCAACCGAGGAACUGCAGGGUGAACCAUGAGUCUCGAGACAGGUAGAGGUUGUCGGAACGAUAGGUGGAGUGGUGAAAUGCGUUGAUAUCUAUCGGAACGCCAAUGGAGAAGUCAGGCAACUGGGCCUGUUCUGACGCUGAGGCACGAAAGCGUGGGGAGCGAACGGGAUUAGAUACCCCGGUAGUCCACGCCGUAAACGAUGCGUACUAGGUUGGGGAGGCUCUGACGCUGUUCCCGGCUGAAGCAAAAGUAUUAAGUACGCCGCCUGGGGAGUACGGUCGCAAGGCUAAAACUCAAAGGAAUUGACGGGGGCUCACACAAGCGGUGGAGCAUGUGGCUUAAUUCGAAGCAACGCGAAGAACCUUAUCCUGGGCUUGACAUGUACGAAUUAGCUUCCUGAAAGGGAAGUGACGCCUUCGGGUGGAACGUACACAGGUGCUGCAUGGCUGUCGUCAGCUCGUGCUGUGAAGUGUCGGGUUAAGUCCCUUAACGAGCGCAACCCCUGUCGUUAGUUGCUAGCAGGUAAUGCUGAGGACUCUAACGAGACUGCCGGUGUUAAACCGGACGAAGGUGGGGAUGACGUCAAGUCCGCAUGGCCUUUAUGCCCAGGGCUGCACACGUGCUACAAUGGCAGGUACAGAACGAUGCAAUACCGCGAGGUGGAGCAAAUCGCGAAAACCUGCCCCAGUUCGGAUUGGAGGCUGCAAUUCGCCUCCAUGAAGUUGGAAUCGCUAGUAAUCGCGGAUCAGCAUGCCGCGGUGAAUACGUUCCUGAGCCUUGUACACACCGCCCGUCAAGUCAUGGAAGCUGGUGGCGCCUGAAGUCGCCACAAUUCAGUGGUGCCCACGGCGAGACUGGUGACUGGGACUAAGUCGUAACAAGGUAA
rnacentral:rRNA from 1 species